CUUCCAACAGGAACCACCGCGCCGGAAUCAUAACCACCCAAAAAAAUCCCAAAAUUUACGUAGAAACCUUAUUUUUUGCGAUUUAAACACAAAUCAACAUUAAAGGUUAAGGGUGUUGGUGGAGGCAGAGGCAAGGUGCACUGUUAAAUUAGUUUUUUUUCUGUUUGUAAUUUCUCUUCUCUGUGUGUGUAAAAAAAACCCCUUUCUUGCUCUGAUUGUGUCUCAAUUAAUAGACCAAGCGAAUGAAUUUGUUUAAUGUAAAAAACCUUCAGAUUUACAAUUUUUAUUGUUUUUAAUCUCAUCAAUUUGUGUUGAGAAGAAAGAAAAAAAAUAAUACGAGGAAAUGGUGAUGAAUGAAUAAAUCUGUGGUUGUUUUUCUC